AUUGAACGCUGGCGGCAGGCCUAACACAUGCAAGUCGAGCAGAUGAAGGGAGCUUGCUCCUGGAUUCAGCGGCGGACGGGUGAGUAAUGCCUAGGAAUCUGCCUGGUAGUGGGGGAUAACGUCCGGAAACGGGCGCUAAUACCGCACACGUCCUGAGGGAGAAAGUGGGGGAUCUUCGGACCUCACGCUAUCAGAUGAGCCUAGGUCGGAUUAGCUAGUUGGUGGGGUAAAGGCCUACCAAGGCGACGAUCCGUAACUGGUCUGAGAGGAUGAUCAGUCACACUGGAACUGAGACACGGUCCAGACUCCUACGGGAGGCAGCAGUGGGGAAUAUUGGACAAUGGGCGAAAGCCUGAUCCAGCCAUGCCGCGUGUGUGAAGAAGGUCUUCGGAUUGUAAAGCACUUUAAGUUGGGAGGAAGGGCAGUAAGUUAAUACCUUGCUGUUUUGACGUUACCAACAGAAUAAGCACCGGCUAACUUCGUG
rnacentral:rRNA from 1 species